rnacentral:other from 1 species
UACAAGCUACGUUGUACGUAUUUAAUUAAGUUUUAACCUCUAAUGAAUGAAUAGGGAGUUUUACAUCGGAAUUCUAAUGUCGAGCCGUCCAUGAACGGAAGGCAGGACAAUUUCUGCAAACACCCACUUAGCGAAGUGGUGGUUUAAAACUUUUUAUUAGAUAAUACGGCAAAUGUGGCCUGUUA